CCAGGAGUUAGUAAUUUAGCAGAGGGCGCUUUGGCUUUGGCAGCGGUCCAAGUUCCUUGGAACAGGACGUCACAGAGGGUGAGAAUCCCGUACGUGGUCGCUGGCUAUUGCCGUGUAAAGCCCCUUCGACGAGUCGAGUUGUUUGGGAAUGCAGCUCUAAAUGGGAGGUACAUUUCUUCUAAAGCUAAAUAUUGGCCAGAGACCGAUAGCGCACAAGUAGAGUGAUCGAAAGAUGAAAAGCACUUUGGAAAGAGAGUCAAACAGCACGUGAAAUUGUUGAAAGGGAAGCGCUUGCAGCCAGACUUGCUUACAGUUGCUCAUCCGGGUUUCUACCCGGUGCACUCUUCUGUAGGCAGGCCAGCAUCAGUUUGGGCGGUAGGAUAAAGGUCUCUGUCACGUACCUCCUUUCGGGGAGGCCUUAUAGGGGAGACGACAUACUACCAGCCUGGACUGAGGUCCGCGCAUCUGCUAGGAUGCUGGCGUAAUGGCUGUAAGCGGCCCGUCUUGAAACACGGACCAAGGAGUCUAACAUCUAUGCGAGUGUUUGGGUGUCAAGCCCGAGCGCGUAAUGAAAGUGAACGGAGGUGGGAACCCGCAAGGGUGCACCAUCGACCGAUCCUGAUGUCUUCGGAAGGAUUUGAGUAAGAGCAUGGCUGUUGGGACCCGAAAGAUGGUGAACUAUGCUUGAAUAGGGUGAAGCCAGAGGAAACUCUGGUGGAGCUCGCAGCGGUUCUGACGUGCAAAUCGAUCGUCAAAUUUGGGCAUAGGGGCGAAAGACUAAUCGUACUAUCUAGUAGCUGGUUCCUGCCGAAGUUUCCUCCUCCAGGAAAGAGAACC
rnacentral:rRNA from 1 species